AUCAUGGCUCAGGAUGAACGCUAGCGGCAGGCUUAAUACAUGCAAGUCGAGGGGCAGCAGCUUUGUAGCAAGUACAGGGGCUGGCGACCGGCAAACGGGUGCGGAACACGUACGCAACCUUCCUUUAACUGGAAGAUAGCCCACCGAAAGGUGGAUUAAUACUCCAUAACAUAUUGAAGAGGCAUCUCUUUGAUAUUAAAGCUCCGGCGGUUAAAGAUGGGCGUGCGUCUGAUUAGGUAGUUGGCGGGGUAACGGCCACCAAGCCUUCGAUCAGUAGCUGAUGUGAGAGCAUGAUCAGCCACACGGGCACUGAGACACGGGCCCGACUCCUACGGGAGGCAGCAGUAAGGAAUAUUGGUCAAUGGAGGCAACUCUGAACCAGCCAUGCCGCGUGCAGGAAGACGGCCCUCUGGGUUGUAAACUGCUUUUAUUCGGGAAUAAACCUAUCUACGUGUAGAUAGCUGAAUGUACCGAAGGAAUAAGGAUCGGCUAACUCCGUG
rnacentral:rRNA from 1 species